rnacentral:piRNA from 1 species
UGUUCAUAGUUUUUCAAACUU